rnacentral:rRNA from 1 species
GACGAACGCUGGCGGCGUGCUUAACACAUGCAAGUCGAGCGGUAAGGCCCUUCGGGGUACACGAGCGGCGAACGGGUGAGUAACACGUGGGUGACCUGCCCCCUACUCUGGGAUAAGCCUGGGAAACUGGGUCUAAUACUGGAUAUGACCUCAUGUUGCAUGGUGUGGGGUGGAAAGUUUUUCGGUGGGGGAUGGGCCCGCGGCCUAUCAGCUUGUUGGUGGGGUGAUGGCCUACCAAGGCGACGACGGGUAGCCGGCCUGAGAGGGCGACCGGCCACACUGGGACUGAGACACGGCCCAGACUCCUACGGGAGGCAGCAGUGGGGAAUAUUGCGCAAUGGGCGAAAGCCUGACGCAGCGACGCCGCGUGAGGGAUGACGGCCUUCGGGUUGUAAACCUCUUUCAGCAGGGAAGAAGCGAAAGUGACGGUACCUGCAGAAGAAGCACCGGCUAACUACGUGCCAGCCGCCGCCGUAACAC